GACGAACGCUGGCGGCGUGCCUAAUACAUGCAAGUCGAGCGGAAGUUGGAGAGCUUGCUCUUCAACUUUAGCGGCGGACGGGUGAGUAACACGUGGGCAACCUGCCCUGCAGAUCGGGAUAACUCCGGGAAACCGGUGCUAAUACCGAAUAGUUUUCGCCACCUCCUGGUGGCGUACGGAAGGACGGUUUCGGCUGUCACUGCAGGAUGGGCCCGCGGCGCAUUAGCUAGUUGGUGGGGUAACGGCCCACCAAGGCGACGAUGCGUAGCCGACCUGAGAGGGUGAUCGGCCACACUGGGACUGAGACACGGCCCAGACUCCUACGGGAGGCAGCAGUAGGGAAUCUUCCGCAAUGGACGAAAGUCUGACGGAGCAACGCCGCGUGAGUGACGAAGGUUUUCGGAUCGUAAAACUCUGUUGUGAGGGAAGAACAAGUACCACUUAACUACUGGUACCUUGACGGUACCUCACCAGAAAGCCACGGCUAACUACGUGCCAGCCGCCGCGGUAACAC
rnacentral:rRNA from 1 species